UCCCCCCCACCCCUCUGCCCUCCCUCCCUCCCCGGUUUCCUUUCUUUGUAGCUACCUCAGGGGAAGCAACAGAUCGUCACUCGGUGUUCUCACCGAAAGCACGUAAUCGCCGGUGUAACUCAUGUUGGCUGGGGGCCUCCCGGCGCGCGGCGGCGCGGCCCGGCCUCCGGCGCCCCGGGCGGAGGCCCGACAGCAGAGCUGAGCCCACCGACUCCGGGGAAGACCUCGCAGGGCCAAGGCCGCCCUAGAAGUCCAAGUCCGAGCUGCAUUUCUGGAAAAGGCUGAGCCGGGCAGAGCUGUAGCAUUGGCCCCGGAGCCUGCUUUCCCAUGAGCUGCUCUUUUCCCAGAGCUCCACAGCGCGGAGCCAUCUCCAGAAAACAGCCCUCCGCGCGUAUUUCCUUUUAGCGCCAACCCGGAGCCCGCGGCCGCCCCUGCGAGAGGCCAAAAAUGUUUUGGAGGAAGAAAAACAAAGGCAGGAAGUGGCGGCGGACUGACGGUCUAGGCAGCCCUGGCAGGGCUGGCCCGCUCGCUCCGCGCAGCGUUGGAGAGAGAUGGCCACCGGAGAGGAGCAGGCGGCGCCCGCGCCAACCUCGCCGGGCGGAAAUGGCUAACGAGGAGGUUUGCGCAGCAAAGCAGACCGGCCCUUUCCGAGGCUCCUUUGAUUCGGGCCUAAUGUCGGAGGGGGUCGCGGGGGGUCCUGCAGCGCCUCCGGAUCCUCCUGCGGCGGGCUGCGUGCGCCCCGGCGGCGAUGGGGGAAUUCCUGCGCCGGCUCCACGCGCCUCCCCGGGCGGGACGCCGGAAUAAAGUGUGCCCAGGUGCCUCUGCCCAGC